UGGGGAAUAUUGCACAAUGGGGGAAACCCUGAUGCAGCGACGCCGCGUGGAGGAAGAAGGUCUUCGGAUUGUAAACUCCUGUUGUUGAGGAAGAUAAUGACGGUACUCAACAAGGAAGUGACGGCUAACUACGUGCCAGCAGCCGCGGUAAAACGUAGGUCACAAGCGUUGUCCGGAAUUACUGGGUGUAAAGGGCGUGUAGGCGGAGAUGCAAGUUGGGAGUGAAAUCCAUGGGCUCAACCCAUGAACUGCUCUCAAAACUGUAUCCCUUGAGUAUCGGAGAGGCAAGCGGAAUUCCUAGUGUAGCGGUGAAAUGCGUAGAUAUUAGGAGGAACACCAGUGGCGAAGGCGGCUUGCUGGACGACAACUGACGCUGAGGCGCGAAAGCGUGGGGAGCAAACAGGAUUAGAUACCCUGGUAGUCCACGCUGUAAACGAUGAAUACUAGGUGUGGGAGGACUGACCCCUUCCGUGCCGCAGUUAACACAAUAAGUAUUCCACCUGGGGAGUACGACCGCAAGGUUGAAACUCAAAGGAAUUGACGGGGGCCCGCACAAGCAGUGGAUUAUGUGGUUUAAUUCGACGCAACGCGAAGAACCUUACCAGGACUUGACAUCCAACUAACGAAGUAGAGAUACAUCAGGUGCCCUUCGGGGAAAGCAGAGACAGGUGGUGCAUGGUUGUCGUCAGCUCGUGUCGUGAGAUGUUGGGUUAAGUCCCGCAACGAGCGCAACCCUUAUGGUCAGUUACUACGCAAGAGGACUCUGGCCAGACUGCCGUUGACAAAACGGAGGAAGGUGGGGAUGACGUCAAAUCAUCAUGCCCUUUAUGACUUGGGCUACACACGUACUACAAUGGCGUUAAACAAAGAGAAGCAAGACCGCGAGGUGGAGCAAAACUCAGAAACAACGUCCCAGUUCGGACUGCAGGCUGCAACUCGCCUGCACGAAGUCGGAAUUGCUAGUAAUCGUGGAUCAGCAUGCCACGGUGAAUACGUUCCC
rnacentral:rRNA from 1 species